CUAAGGAGGAUUUUUUGGGCAUUUUCCAUUCAUAUGCAGAAUCAGUGGUUGAAAAAGGAGAAAGAGAGAUUUUCUUUACAAAAGCUCCUGACCCCAUUAACAUAUUAUCUAUAAAUCUGAUAUGUUCCUGAUCAUACUCCAGGAAAUCAUCUUCAUAGUCAGCCUCUUCCUUCGGAGCCCUCCACAUCAGGCUCUCCUCCUCCUCAUC
rnacentral:lncRNA from 1 species